AAAGCUCAAAUUUAAAAUCUGGUGGUCGCUCUGGCCGUCCGAGUUGUAAUCUGGAGAAGUGUUUUCCGCGUCGGACCGUGUACAAGUCUUCUGGAACGGAGCGUCAUAGAGGGUGAGAAUCCCGUCUCUGACACGGACUGCCGAUGCUUUAUGUGAUACGCUCUCGAAGAGUCGAGUUGUUUGGGAAUGCAGCUCAAAAUGGGUGGUAAAUUCCAUCUAAAGCUAAAUAUUGGCGAGAGACCGAUAGCGAA
rnacentral:rRNA from 1 species